GACUCGAGCGAAGCGAGAGAACGUUGCGCCAGCAACGGCCCGCAGGGCGAGCCACGAAGUGGCGAGUAAUCCUCUAUCACCGACCA
rnacentral:sRNA from 1 species